rnacentral:rRNA from 1 species
UACGGAGGAUGCGAGCGUUAUCCGGAUUUAUUGGGUUUAAAGGGAGCGCAGACGGGGGAUUAAGUCAGUUGUGAAAGUUUGGGGCUCAACCUUAAAAUUGCAGUUGAUACUGGUCCUCUUGAGUGCAGUUGAGGCAGGCGGAAUUCGUGGUGUAGCGGUGAAAUGCUUAGAUAUCACGAAGAACCCCGAUUGCGAAGGCAGCUUGCUAAACUGUAACUGACGUUCAUGCUCGAAAGUGUGGGUAUCAAACAGG